UACGUAGGGGGCAAGCGUUGUCCGGAUUUAUUGGGCGUAAAGAGCGUGUAGGCGGUCAGGUAGGUCCGUUGUGAAAACUCGAGGCUCAACCUCGAGACGCCGAUGGAAACCAUCUGACUAGAGUCCGGAAGAGGAGAGUGGAAUUCCUGGUGUAGCGGUGAAAUGCGCAGAUAUCAGGAAGAACACCCGUGGCUAAAGGCGGCUCUCUAGGACGGUACUGACGCUGAGACGCGAAAGCGUGGGGAGCGAACAGG
rnacentral:rRNA from 1 species